rnacentral:snoRNA from 1 species
CAUGACUUAUAAAAAUUCUCACUGGUUAUAUGAUGAAUAAAAUCAAAUCACCAUCUUUCGGCUGAGCUCCUG